rnacentral:lncRNA from 1 species
GCAAUGUCGCAAGUGAGGUAAUCUUCGCAAACAACCCAUGUAAUACAAUAAGGGAAAAGAUACAUAGUUGCCUUACAAUCGCCACUUCACACAAUUACAUGAAUAAAGCAUUACAUCAACCAGAUACAAUCAAGGUCCGACUACGGAACCCAAAAUAAAAGAAGACUACCCCAAAUGCUACACAGAUCCCCGAUCGUCCCAACUGGGCUCCACUACUGAUCAACUGGAAACGGAACAACAUAACGAACGCGAAUUCAUCGAGCUCCUCCUUGAGCUCAGUUGCGUCACCUGCACGGUUUCAUCGGCACCUGCAAACUGGUUUUGGAAGUAAUCUGUGAGUCACAGGGACUCAGCAAUCUCACACCCUCGCGAUCAAGACUAUUUAAGUUUAUAGGUAGGGUAAAAGGUAUGAGGUGGAGCUGCAGCAAGCGACUAGCAUAUAUGGUGGCUAACAUACGCAAAUGAGAGCGAGAAGAGAAGGCAAAGCACAUUCGAGAAUCUAUGAUCAAGAAGUGAUCCUAGAACAACCUACGUCAAACAUAACUCCAACACCGUGUUCACUUCCCGGACUCCGCCGAGAAGAGACCAUCACGGUUACACAUGCGGUUGAUGCAUUUUAAUUAAGAUCAACUUCAGGUUUUCUACAACCGGACAUUAACAAAUUCCCAUCUGCCCAUAACCGCGGGCACGGCUUUCGAAAGUUCAAAUCCCUGCAGGGGUGUGCCAACUUAGCCCAUCACAAGCUCUCACGGUCAACGAAGUAUAUUCCUUCUCCCAAGACAAUCCGAUCAGACUCGGCAUCCCGGUUACAGGACAUCCUCCACAAUGGUAAAACAAGUCCAGCAAGACCACCCGAUGCGCCGACAUCCCGAUAGGAGCUGCACAUAUCUCGUUCUCAGGCAAGACCGGAUAAGCAAUCCGUACAACUAAAACCAGCCCUCGAGUUUCCCCGAGGUGGCACUGCAAGGGGCUCUAGUUUGGACCAACACUUAGACAAGCAUUGGCCUGGGGGGGGGGGGUUAAAAUAAAGAUGACCCUCGGGAUGCGCGACUCCCAAGGGAAAAAGGCUAGGUGGUGAAUGGUAAAACCAAGGUUGGGCCUUGCUGGAGGAGUUUUAUUCAAAGCGAACUGUCAAGGGGUUCCCAUUAUAACCCAACCGUGUAAGGAACGCAAAAUCCGGAAACAUAACACCGAUAUGACGGAAACUAGGGCGGCAAGAGUGGAACAAAACACCAGGCAUAAGGCCGAGCCUUCCACCCUUUACAAAGUAUAUAGAUGCAUUAAUUAAAUAAGAGAUAUUGUGAUAUCCCAACAAAAUAUCCAUGUUCCAACCAGGAACAAACUCCAAUCUUCACCUGCAACUACAACGCUAUAAGAGGGGCUGAGCAAAGCGGUAACAUAGCCAAACAACGGUUUGCUAGGACAAGAUGGGUUAGAGGCUUGGCUUAACAAUAUGGGAGGCAUGAUAAGCAAGAGGUAGGUAUCGCAUCAUAGGCAUAGCAAAAGAGCGAGCAACUAGCAAGCAAAGAUAUAAGUGAUUUCGAGGGUAUGGUCAUCUUGCCUGAGAUCCCGAAAGGAAGAAGAACGAGUCCAUGAAGAAGAAAAACGGACGUAGUCGAACGAAUCCUCACAACACGACGUUACCGGAUUACCGAGAAGAAGUACACCGGAAAAAAAGCAAACAACGCAGUAAACAAUCAUCACAUAAGCAUGGCACGAUGCGCAAACAAGUAUGAUGCAUGUCCGGUUUAAUGAGGCAUGGUAUGGCAAAGUGCACAAACAACCCUACAAAUUAAGUGGGGCUCAAUAUGCAACUCCGUUGCAUAUUGACGAAACACCACAUGACUUAUUUAGUUCGAUCUCAUUUAUGUACUCAACAAUAUUAAAUGUUGUUAGCAUGGCAAGAGUGAAGCAUAAAGAAACUACCCAUCUAGGCAAGUUUAAAUGAGGCCGGAACAACAAAACAAUAAGUCUGAAAACUCCUCAUGUGCAUAUUUUAGGUUUGGUACUGUUCUGCCCUAAACACAAUUUUAGAGUUGUUAAACAUGCAAAUUAAGGCCACCAUGUUAAACUAGGCAUUUUUCUACCCCAUUUACAUAUAAAGUUUAUUAAAAUCCGAGCUACGGUUAUUUAGUUAUGAAUUAAAGCAUUUUAACAUGGCAUAUGGCAAAAAUACACAAACAACAUUUUAAACAUUUUUAACAUGGAUGAAAGUUGGAUAUUAUUAAACUAGAUGAAAUUCUAAGCAAGUUUCAUAUUUGGAGUUUUAACAUGUGAUGCAUAGUUCAAGAGUUAUUAAAUGCAUGAAGUACAAGGGGUUUUCUGUAAAACGGGCAAACUCUGGAUAAUAGCUAAAAUUCGCAGACAGGGAAAAACACUAUAUGGGCCGAAACUGAGACAAGCCCAACAGAAAAAAACAAAAGGUGGGGCGCUGUGGGUGGCCUCACCCAUGGGCUUCGGCCCGUUUGAGGAGGAGGGGUUAGGCCGGCAGGGGCGUUGCGCUGGGCCGGUUUGGGAUCGAGGCGUGGCUGCGGUCCACGCGCGGGUCAAUGGGCUCGGCCAGUUCGAGAACUGCUCGACGCAGCGAGAUGCAGAGGCGAGGAGCGGCAACGGGAGCUCGCCGGACUCGGGCGAACGGCGACCGGAGUGAGCGGAGGUCAGGGGACGACGAAUCCACGCCGGAGCUGGGCGGAUCCGGGCCCCGGGGAUCCCAUCCUCGGCGAUGGACGGAGCUCGGGGAGGCGACACCCCAUGGCGGCGGCUGGAGCCUGCGGAAGAGAGAGAUAACAUGAGGGGGGAAGAAGAGGGAGAAAACAGAGGCGGGAGGAGAGGAUACAGGGCGGCGGCUGCUCAUCUUCGGUGGGGUUCCGAUCGCCGGCGUCGGCUGGACAACAAGGCAGGGGACCUGCUGGUCCAGCGGCGUCGUCGUGGUGGUAGAGGCCGCCGACGGCGUUGUGGAUCAAGGUGCAGGAAGGGGAACGGGGCGCUCGACUGCUGCUGCUGCUUUGCGGGCGUGCGGAUGCGAGGGGCUGCGAGCGCUGACCGUCUCCGCGAGCGCGAAGGCGAGGAAGAAGGAUUCAUGGGGAUCGGGAGGAGGAGCGGGGUUGGAUAGGCACGGAAACAGAGGAGGGAUUUUGGAUCGGGGAGGAUCCCGAUGAGGAGGAGACAGGAAGAGUGGCGGCGCCCGGGAGGAUCCCUAGAAAUUAGGGAUUUGUCUGAUUUGGGUAGGGGUUGGACUAUAUAUAUAUAUGGAAAAGAAGGGAGUUGGAUCAUCCGAUCAAAAUCCAACGGUCGAGAAUAGAUAGGCUAGGAAAGUCUAAAUAAGAAACGGAGACGUUUUGUAGAUGUUUGGGGAUGAUCCGGACACAACGGUGGCGACAGUCCGGGUUGGGUUUGGGACAACUUUCGGACGCACGCGCGAGGAGGGCCGCGGGCUGACGAGAGAGGUUAGGUUGGGUCUGGCGGAUUGUGAAGAGCGAGUUGGUCUGAGAGAAGAGGGGAGAGAUGCAGCCCGACACGGUUUCCGGAGACUGAAAACGUCUGACGUUAGACCGGCUAUACUGCCGCUAUAGUUAUUCGUUGGGGCAUCAAACGAUCUCCGAAUGCAUGAAACUUGACAGGCGGUCUAUCUACACUAUAAUAGGACCACACGCCAACUCUCAUCCCAUUCCGAGAACAUUUUCCGGUCACUUAUAAAAUACUAUUUCGGACAUGCCGCGGGCGCGUGCAAGUGUGUCUGGGCUCAGAACGGACAACGGACGGAACUGGGAGACCCGGACUAAUGCAAGUUUUAAAACAUGAUGAUGCAAUGCACAUGAUGACAUGAUAAGAUGCAACACGCAAGCAAAUGACAUGACAACGUCAGCGAAUAACUGGAAGACACCUGGCAUAUCGGUCUCGGGGCGUCACAACACUCCACCACUACGAGAGGAUCUCGUCCCGAGAUCUAGAAUGGCACCGGAGGGAAAAAACGAAAGAGAAAGAGAAGAGGUAAAACUAAGUUGCUUCUUUGACAAACGAGUGAAACCAAAGAACCUUGAAAAGGUUAAGCCAUUUCGAGAAAAAAAAUACAACGGAGAUGAGCGAAGUUGAAAGCACUCCCUUAGGAAAGAGGAACGAGGAAGAACAAAGUUGAAAGCACUCCGGUAGGGAAGAGUAAUAAGGACGAACAAAUUCGAACAACACUCCAGUUGAAAAGAGAUGCAAAGCUUGAAUAGGCGAAAAGAACUUGAGCAAAGGGGCACAAUACUCCGGUUAAAACAAGAUGGGGAAGGAAUAAGAAUGAUAUAAUUUGGACAGCACUCCGCCUGUAAAUGGAAGGAAUUGGACAUGAUCUUGACAAAACAAGAUGAUGGGUCGAAGAGAGCAGCAUCACAAUGCCUCCGGAACAAAUGAAAGAAUGCAAUAAAAAGAACAGAGAAGAAAACAACAUGUUCUAACUCAAAUGAAUUUGAGAGAGCAUCCUUAAAAAGAAGGAUUUAACAGAGUUGUUGGGAAAUCAACAACGAAAAGAACAGGCUUGUUGAGGGCUUAUGGAAAACAUCUCAAGAACUUGAGGUGAAAACCUGCCAUAAAUGGAAACAAGAUUGGAUUGAUAUGAACAAGGAGACAAGAAACUUAUUUCACCGGGAGGAUAAAUGAAGAACUUGGGUCAUUUAUAAGCACCAUAGAUAGCAACAAUCCUUUUGGGAAGGCUUUAGGUGAAAUAUAACCCAAGAUAAUUCCAACGAAGAGGUUGGUGGAUUUAAAAUAUCUCAUUGUUAACAACAUGUGAAUCAUGAAACAUGAACUCAAAUUAUCAAGAAUGACAUAAUACCACCUCCAAUGAUAUGGUAGAAAGAAUUGCACUCCGGAUUGCACGAAGAAGAAUACUUGAGCUCCUUAGAAAAGAAUGUUGAUGAACACUUCGAGAAGGAAAUUAAAUCCUUGAUGAAACCAUCAUGUAGAACCUUCAUGAAGAACUUCGGUAACAAAAGGAUGAUCAAGCGGAAGGAAAGAGAAGUUGAAAACACAAGGUGAAUCCUUGCAAUGAUUAGAUGGAUCUUCGCGACGAGAUAAAAUGGAAACUUGGAACUGCGGAAAAGAAAGAUAAAGCAUCUUGAACCGAGAAUGUGAUAUGAAGAACCUCCAGAAUAAGGAAUUGAAUUUACUCGAUGAAACAAGAAUAAUAAUUACAUUAUGCUUAUCCUUCACCAAUUAAAUUGAUGACAAUCAACGGAUUUGACAUAUUACUUAUUCUCAUAGAAAAGAUUAAGAGAGAUAUAACAUAAACUUGGGAAGGUCUUCAAUGAACCAUCGGUAGGAUUGAAACACCGAAUAAAUUGAUAUGAUCACCAUGGAAGAGAAUCUUGAGCAAACCACCGUAAGGAUUGAAAAUGAACGAAGUAAAGAAAAAGAAUCACCGGAAAGAAUUAGCAAAUGGACGAAGGAGCAUGCUAGGAUUUAGAUACAUGAGACCGAAGGGGUCACGAGCUGAUUAGAGGUCACUUGAAUGAUGCACCGGUAAGAUUUAGAUAACGAGAGCUGAAAGCUGAGAAUAAAUAAUUCUGAGAUGAUGGGCUCCGGAGAAUCAAACUGAAAAGACUCCUGAAUUGCACCGGAUGGGUGAAAAGAAUUCUCACAAUCGAAAAUAAUUAUGAGAGGAUGGCAACAAGCUAGCACCAUGAGUCUUGAAGAGAAUCGAGCCAGAUAUGGAGAAAAAAUAAAUCUUCUUCGGUCUUCAAAUGUUGAGAAUGACGACGAGAAACACCACGAAGAAUUAUUGAGGCACACUGGAAUGAAGAAUGGAAAGGUUGAGCCAACGAUGAAAGAAUUUUGAUAGAUCUUGGAGAAAGACAUUUGACUGAUGACAAUUCAUUCUUACGUCAAACUUUGAAAAGAAUUUAGUAUAGCUCCGAGAAAAUUAGAAGAGUCAGGUAAGAUCCUGGGAAAAGACCUGUGGGUUAGGGCCCACUCAAAAGAAACACCGUUGAACGAUUACUUGAAAAGAAGAUUACACCGGUUGAGUUAAACGGCUUGAAUGAGAUAACCACCUCAAAAUAGGUUUAACGGAUCUUGACAGAACUCCCGAACAAAUGAAUAGCGAGAAGUAAAUGAUUAUGAGAUGCACCGGCAUGAGAAGGUAUUUGAAACGAGGAAAAGGAUAUGAUCGGCAAAGCUUGAAUUGAAUCCACCGGAGGAGAAAAAGGAAUGACGAAUGACGAACUAGAAACUCCGUUAGAAUCUUCAUGAGAAACACCGGGUAAGAACAUUGAAAGGAAAGAAAGAAGAGACUUCACAUCCAUAAGAUGGAUACUUGAUAAAGAAAUCCGAGUCCUUGAAGAAAAAGGGUGGGAGGGUGGGAAAACAAAGGAAACUUGGAACGGAUGAAGCAAACACUGUUGAGAAGAACUGAUAAUCGAUCUUGCGAAUGUUGAAGUGAUCGGAUCCACUUGAAGAGAGACACACCGGAUGAAAAUGAUUGACAUGACAAUCUCGAUUAUCAUGAAGGAUUGAUAUUCACGUAGGAGUAUGAGAACACCGCUUGGGGAAGGUAUGGAAUCAACAUUUGACUUCGAAGCAACUCGAAUACCACAACUCAAAACAAAACAAAAGAUUGGCUUGUAGAAUAAGCAAGAACAAACAUAUGAUAGAGAUUUCGUCCGAAGUUUUCGUGGUGGGGCCUACACGGGCUCGAUCGUACAACACCAUCAUGUACAAGGCAGUGCACAUGACAUACGAAGCGUCCCCGAGUCGGCAUAGCCAAGGACUCUUUUAAGACACAAUGAGACCACUGUAAAACCAACCAUGGAUAGGCGGACCACUAGACGUCGAACCCCAAUUUCAUAUCAUACAUCUGUCGGAAAGAUAUCCUAGGAGCUACUUGAAUUCCCACUUAUAAACUCCCGAAACUCUCCGGUUGUGCAAUCAGGUGUUGGGGAUACAAGGGAAGCAUAAUAUCUCACCCAAAACUAGCAAAUCCUACAUCCAGCUGUAUCCAUCCUUCAACACAUAACCAAGAAAUCUUCGGAAAUCGUUUACCUCAACCUUCGAAAAGCAUCCGUUAUACGAGUUAUGGCAAUACUCCCGAACUCCCGCCCCAGUAGGGUGGCGUCGAGGUUAUCUCACAAACAACUGCAUAAAAGAGAUUUUCGAUGUCGGCGAAACUCAGGUAUUCGAGAAUCUCAACGAUAAAAUUGUGACGGCAACACCUCGGAGCUCAACUCCCCGGGACACUGCCACAACCCCUAAAUGUCAGGAGGCACCAAGAACAAUGUUCUCGUCACAAAUCGAUCGGAACGAUUCCAAGAUACUCGCGUGAUCCAAAAAAAAUUUAGUGACAUUUGAGAAGAGAAGAGUCAAAACUCUACGUCAGGAUGCCUCACCAGAGCGACGAAGGGACUCAGGAGUAAAAAGAAUUCCUAACUCUCCGAUAUAUAUAAUCCUAAAUGACUCAAAACAUUUUUUCUAAACUCAACAACGCCAACGAUUCGUUCAAGCAGGGGGCUCCUAAGGUCGGGGAAGGCUCUGAUACCAACUUGUAACGCCCUCGAUGCGGCUAUAUCUCCCACGUGUCGAAGCACGACUUAGAGGCAUAACCGCAUUGAAAGCAAUGUCACAAGUGAGGUAAUCUUCGCAAACAACCCAUGUAAUACAAUAAGGGAAAAGAUACAUAGUUGGCUUACAAUCACGACUUCACACAAUUACAUGAAUGAAGCAUUACAUCAACCAGAUACAAUCAAGGUCCGACUACGGAACCCCAAAUAAAAAAAGACUACCCCAAAUGCUACACAGAUCCCCGAUCGUCCCAACUGGGCUCCACUACUGAUCAACUGGAAACGGAACAACAUAACGAACGCGAAUCUCAUCGAGCUCCUCCUUGAGCUCAGUUGCGUCACCUGCACGGUUUCAUCGGCACCUGCAAACUGGUUUUGGAAGUAAU